UACGGAGGGUGCAAGCGUUAUUCGGAAUCACUGGGCUUAAAGCGUGCGUAGGCGGCUAAGAAAGUUGGGUGUGAAAUCCCUCGGCUCAACCGAGGAAUUGCGCUCAAAACUACUUAGCUUGAGGGAGUUAGAGGUGAGCGGAACUAAUGGUGGAGCGGUGAAAUGCGUUGAUAUCAUUAGGAACACCGGUGGCGAAAGCGGCUCACUGGGACUCUUCUGACGCUGAGGCACGAAAGCUAGGGGAGCGAACGGG
rnacentral:rRNA from 1 species